UGGGGAAUAUUGGACAAUGGGCGAAAGCCUGAUCCAGCCAUGCCGCGUGUGUGAAGAAGGUCUUCGGAUUGUAAAGCACUGUAAGUUGGGAGGAAGGGCAGUAAGCGAAUACCUUGCUGUUUUGACGUUACCGACAGAAUAAGCACCGGCUAACUCUGUGCCAGCAGCCGCGGUAAUACAGAGGGUGCAAGCGUUAAUCGGAAUUACUGGGCGUAAAGCGCGCGUAGGUGGUUCGUUAAGUUGAAUGUGAAAGCCCCGGGCUCAACCUGGGAACUGCAUCCAAAACUGGCGAGCUAGAGUAGGGCAGAGGGUGGUGGAAUUUCCUGUGUGGCGGUGAAAUGCGUAGAUAUAGGAAGGACCACCAGUUGCGGAGGCGACCACCUGGGCUCAUACUGACACAGAGGUGCGAAAGCGUGGGGAGCAAACAGG
rnacentral:rRNA from 1 species